rnacentral:rRNA from 1 species
GAUCAAGUUAUUAAGGGCAUACGGUGGAUGUCUUGGCGUUGAGAGGCGAUGAAGGACGUCGGUAACCUGCGAAAAGCCUAGAGGAGUUGGUAACCAAGCAUUGAUUCUAGGAUGUCCGAAUGGGGAAACCCGGCCCGCAAGGGUCAUCCAUACCCGAAUGCAUACGGUAUGGAAGCAAACCCGGAGAACUGAAACAUCUCAGUACCCGGAGGAAAGGAAAGCAACCGCGACUCCGUUAGUAGCGCCGAGCGAAAGCGGAUUAACCAGUAAAUCAACGUGAGUCGUCUGGAAAGACGGACCACAGAGGGUGACAGUCCCGUAACGUUGUGGCUGGUGAGGCCUAGAGUAGGUUCGAGCUCGUGAAACUCGGAUUGAACAUGGGGGGUCCACCCUCCAAGCCUAAGUACUCCUCAACGACCGAUAGUGAACCAGUAAGGCGACUGAAUGAUGAAAAGCACCCCUAUAAGGGGAGUGAAAAGUACCUGAAACCGUAUGCUUACACAGCGGUCGGAGCCCUUUCGAGGGUGACGGCGUGCCUUUUGCAUAAUGAUCCUGCGAGUUACUCUCUACAGCAAGGCUAAGUCGAACCCCGACGGAGCCGAAGGGAAACCGAGUCUUAAAAGGGCGUCGAGUUGUAGGGAGUAGACGCGAAACUGGUUGAUCUACCCAUGGGCAGGUUGAAGGGAGGGUAAAACCUCCUGGAGGACCGAAGCCUUGAACGUUGAAAAGUUCUGGCAUGACCUGUGGGGAGGAGUUAAAGUCUAAUCAUAACCAGAGAUAUCUCGUUCUCUCCGAAAUAGCUUUAGGGCUAGCCUCACGUUACAUCUUGUAGGGGUAGAGCGACUGAUUGGGGCUGGGGGGCUACCCGCCUACCCACCCCAGUCAAACUCCGAAUACUACAAGACUUGUCGUGGGAGUCAGACUACGGGGGACAAUCUCCGUGGUCAAAAGGGAAACAGCCCAGAUCGCCAGAUAAGGCCCCUAAACAAACCUAAGUUACUAAGGUAAUCAGAGUGCCGUGACAGCCAGGAUGUUGGCUUAGAAGCAGCCACCAUUUAAAAAGUGCGUAACAGCUUACUGGUCGAGGACUUUGGCGCCGAUAAUGAUCGGGAAUAAGGUUUGUGCCGAAUCUGCGAGCGCGCAAGCGCGGUAGGAGAGCGUUGCUGUCAGCGUUGAAGCCAUCCCGGAAGGGUUGGUGGAGCGGCAGCAAGUGAAUAUGCAGGAUUGAGUAACGAUAAACGGAGUGAGAAUCUCCGUCGCCGAAAGCCUAAGGUUUCCUGGGGAAGGUAAUUCCGCCCAGGGUUAGGCGGUACCUAAGGCGAGGCCGAAAGGCGUAGUCGAUGGACAGCAGGUUAAUAUUCCUGCCCUUAU